rnacentral:lncRNA from 1 species
AUUCGAACAUAUGUGACCCCCCCAAACUUGAGUCCUUGCUACCACAGAUUUGAUGUUCGCUAUCUAAUUAUAACCAUAAAAGCUAACUUAUAAUACAAAUAAGUUAUAUAAACAUUCAUUAAUUACAUAAUUUAAUCUUAUAUUUCCGAGUCUUAAUUAUAAUCAAUGCUAUAAAUAUUACAUAAUUUUUUUCAUCAUUUCCAAAAUAUUACAUUACUUAAAUUAAUUAAUACAUUCAUAAUUAUUUAGUCUUCCUGGGUUGUUUUGCCUUUCCCCCCUGUCCUUCGUACCGUACCCGAUUCCUCGAAUCCUUCUGUGUUUAACUGUAAAUAUGAAAUUCGCAAGUGUGAGUAACUAAUUUGCUCGAUCAACAAGUAUAAAUAUUUAAAAUACCAUAAGAACAACCACACUUGAAAUAAAUACUGAUAAUUGAAAAAGAAUCCUUAAUAGACAUGUGAUUGAAAAGCAUUAAAUAUAGUAUCAAUUGUCUAUAAUACCCUUCACUUUACUUAUCUCAUAAAUAUGGAUCAAAAGAUUAGGUGGAGUAAUAAAGGGCAAUUUGGGAAAAAUAGUAAUCAAUUCUCCUAGAUAACCACAAACGACAAAUAAUUAGGAAUAUAAAAAAAAGUCUAAAACGACCUACAUAUAAGAAUGGAUGGAGUAUAACAUUUGUCAAUUGAAGAAUAAUAAAUUUCUAAACUGGAAAUCUCAUAUUUAAUUGAACUUUCGAAUCUCAACUGAGCGGUUGGAUCAUGAACUAUCUUAAAUGUUCAUCAGUUAUACAUUGAGAACUCUCUAAUAAUAAAACUAGGAGUUGAACUUAACAAUACUCCAUGUUACAUGUAACACCAUCUCCACAAUAUAGUUUAAUAGUGUAAUGUAAGUUAUCCAAAAACAUCACAAUAUUCUCUAUUUCUAAGAUUAUUUUACUCAAUUAUAUAUCAGAGUCAGCACCAAACAAUUUGGAUCGGAUUACAUUAGAAUAUCUUCAAAGAAUCAUUAACAAAUCAAUAAUUGAUAGAAUCACAUCAAUUGAGUCCAGUCAAACACAUCUCAUAAAAUAGUUCAAUAUACACGAGCUUUAAAGAACAAAAUCCAUGUUCAAAGUUUACUUCUUUCGUCUAAAUUACUUUUUUGUCUCCACCAAAGGAUUUACAUAAUUAAGUCAUCUAGUAAUAUUUUUAAUACUUAUUGUCGAUAACUACUCAUAAUCUCGUUCCGAUAUUUUCAAGCAACAUAAACUCAUUCUCGAGCACUAACUUAACCCAUAUUUAUAAUCUUAGUAUCAAAAUGUCCAUUUAGUCCCCACUUAAGCUUACAUGUUUUAUUUUAACAUGUAUUAAUUAUCGAUAAAAUGCAUUAUACGUUUUUCGGUAACUUUUAAAUUAAAUUCUUAAGCCGUAUUUCCUCUAUUAACCCCUUUUAUUAUUUUUAUUCCUUCUGACCCCACCUAGGAAAUUAUAUUUUAAAUCAUUUUUUAUUUUUCCAAAUUUUUCUAAUAUCUUUAAUAUUUAUUUUAUGCUAGUUUCAGUCCAAUAUUGCAAAAUUCAUUAAAAUUCAAAAUUAUGUCCCACUAAUCAUGAAUUUUGGACAGUAGCCUCUCUACAUCCAAAUUUACUUCCACUCAAAAUUUUAUCACAUUCACUACAAGAAAAAAAAGUUAUUUUCUUCCUUCAAAAUCAACUUAUUUUCGACGGAAAGUUUCAUUGGAAAUUCGGCCGAAAAUAUACAGGUCGGAAAUAAGUUCGUCGAGAAUUCUGUCAGAAAGAGAUCCACAACCAAGAUUCAUCAUGUUUAUGUUUAAACAAGUGUGAUUCAUGUUUUAUCUACCUAGAUGAAAGUCAUUUAAAAGAAAAGUUGGAUCUAGGAUGAUUUAGGGUUUACCUCUUGUAGUGAUUGCUUUACUUUCUUGCCCUUGAUCUUCUAACUCUUGCUCCUUGAUUGGCUUGAAACCUCUCAUCCUCCUGCUAUAUAUAUAUGGCUGUUGAAAUCUCCCUCUCAAUCUCUCUCUCUCUCUCUCUCUGUUUGUGAAAUGCGUUGGUGAAAGUAGAGAAAUGAAGCUAUUAUGUAUAGACAAAGUUUGGCAUUUCAAUUUCUUUCCCCAAAUCUUGGUAUUCAUAGUCAAAUCUCUUCAUCUUUCUUUAUUUCACUGUUUUUCCAAUAGUUAACUAGAGUAAUGCACCAUAAUUUAUAAGUAAUCUUAUGGUGUAGGGUUUAAUAAAGUGUUUAAAGCUUUCAAUUUGUAAGUUUGGUGGCCAAUAUGACCACAUCUCUUCCCUGGGCUCUUAACAACUCUAAAGUGGGCAAGUAAGGGCUG